CGCCAGUCUACAUCUUGGUAGAGAAACAUCCCAUACAUUCUGAAGUAUGUGCUGUACUUGGCUUCUAUUCUGAAUAUCUACUUGUAAUUUUUGUCUAGUUGACAUCCAUCGGCAAACUUCGUUGACUUAAGUUCAAGGUUUUUUUCCCAAAGAAAUAAGAACACCAACUGUUAGGGCUCCAGAGWCCUCUUCCUGUUCAGAAAGAACAAAAAGACUAGCGGACAAAGAUAAUACUGAGUCAUGUCUGACUCGGAGACCAUCGAGCUAGCCGCUCUGGGCCGACCCUUCCAGCUGGGGAUGCUGUAUGACUGUCGUAGAGAUGUCCUCAUCCCAGGUAUCACUCUCUGGGAUUCUGAGGUGUUGCAGAAACACAUCAAUGUCCGUCCACAACCGAACACCGACUUCAAAAUCAUUGCUUCAGACUCAAGUGAAGCCAAGUCAGAAGCUUUGAAUGUGUCUGCAUCU